AGAGUUUGAUCCUGGCUCAGGACGAACGCUGGCGGCGCGCCUAACACAUGCAAGUCGAACGAGAGAGAAGGAGCUUGCUUCUUCGAUCGAGUGGCGAACGGGUGAGUAACGCGUGAGGAACCUGCCUCAAAGAGGGGGACAACAGUUGGAAACGACUGCUAAUACCGCAUAAGCCCACGGGUCGGCAUCGACCUGAGGGAAAAGGAGCAAUCCGCUUUGAGAUGGCCUCGCGUCCGAUUAGCUAGUUGGUGAGGUAACGGCCCACCAAGGCGACGAUCGGUAGCCGGACUGAGAGGUUGAACGGCCACAUUGGGACUGAGACACGGCCCAGACUCCUACGGGAGGCAGCAGUGGGGAAUAUUGCACAAUGGGGGAAACCCUGAUGCAGCGACGCCGCGUGGAGGAAGAAGGUCUUCGGAUUGUAAACUCCUGUUGUUGAGGAAGAUAAUGACGGUACUCAACAAGGAAGUGACGGCUAACUACGUGCCAGCAGCCGCGGUAAAACGUAGGUCACAAGCGUUGUCCGGAAUUACUGGGUGUAAAGGGAGCGCAGGCGGGAAGACAAGUUGGAAGUGAAAUCUAUGGGCUCAACCCAUAAACUGCUUUCAAAACUGUUUUUCUUGAGUAGUGCAGAGGUAGGCGGAAUUCCCGGUGUAGCGGUGGAAUGCGUAGAUAUCGGGAGGAACACCAGUGGCGAAGGCGGCCUACUGGGCACCAACUGACGCUGAGGCUCGAAAGUGUGGGGAGCAAACAGGAUUAGAUACCCUGGUAGUCCACACCGUAAACGAUGAUUACUAGGUGUUGGGAGAUUGACCCUCUCAGUGCCGCAGUUAACACAAUAAGUAAUCCACCUGGGGAGUACGACCGCAAGGUUGAAACUCAAAGGAAUUGACGGGGGCCCGCACAAGCAGUGGAGUAUGUGGUUUAAUUCGACGCAACGCGAAGAACCUUACCAAGUCUUGACAU
rnacentral:rRNA from 1 species